AUGAUGAUGAUGAGACCCGGAUUAUUACACCACAUUAUUGCUUCUGUCACGUCGGACAAUUGCGAAUUAACUGCGGCUGGUGUGAGUUUCCGUGGGAAGGUGAUGUGACUGAUGUC
ensembl:snoRNA snoRNA:Me18S-A1597